rnacentral:rRNA from 1 species
UAUUUAAACUUAAGUGUAGUUUAUUAAUUUCUUAUUUAAGGGUAAAAUCUAUAUAUAAAUAAAUAAUUCAAUAUAAACUAAUAUCUAUACAUUGAUUCUGCGAAAGCCUUGAGGGAAACUGGGAUUAGAUACCCCAUUAUUCUUGGGAGUAAAUAAACGUGAGUUUACCAGAGUACUAUGAAUUCUUAAACAAAUUUAAAACUCAAAGGGCUUGGCGGUGUUUUAGACCUUUCAGGGGAACCUGUCUCAUAAUCGACAAUCCACGUUAGACCUAACCUUUUUUUGCUAAUUCAGUUUGUAUACCGUCGUCGUCAGGUAACUUUUAAAAAAUAAGAAGUUAGCAACAAAAUAAUUUUUAUUUCAACGUCAGAUCAAGGUGCAGCUAAUAUAAAGGUGAGGAUGGGUUACAAUUAUAAAUUAUAAUUACGGAUGAGGAGUUGAAAUACUACUUUUUAAAGGAGGACUUGAAAGUAAGAAGGAUUAUAUAAAUGUUUUGAAUAAGGCUCUGAAACAUGC